AAUCUAGCUGCAACAUCUGUCACCCCACUGAUUGUCAGGGUUGAUUUGGCUGAUUUGGCUGACUUUUAGGCAGGUAUCACCUUUU
rfam:Ophiophagus hannah scaffold22.1, whole genome shotgun sequence.